GUGACAUGGCAAACGAGUGUCACUGUGCUUGUGUACAACAGUGUAGCAUGCACAGUACCCAGAGGGAACCCGAAUGUCAUCUGCGGACGUUGUGUUAGAGUGAUGUGCCUGUGUGGCACAUUGAUAAUGGGGGAGGCUGUGUGUUUGUGAUAGGGUAAAAGUGGGACAUCUCUGGACUUUUUACUCAAUUUUAUGGGAACCUUAAUCUUUAAAAAUAAAAUCUAUUAAAAACUACAUGAAAACCCAGAAGGGAGAAUUGGUUUGGAGAAGACACUGAUUUUUCUCUGAACCUGGGGGUCUUCGCAUCGUAGAUUGGUGUUCUCUGCUCCACCUCACUCUGAGCAUUGGCCUCUGGUCCUGGCCAGCUGAGCAGAGGCAGCCUGUGGGCAGUCUUGGCACCUCACCAGGACUAUGCCUCUGUGUUCAGAGGACUCAGCCCUGAAUGGGCUCUUUACAACCAGGUGAUGAGUUCACGAUGCCUUCAGGUAAUCAUCAGUCAGAACAGGAAGGUCUGGCACGUUGUGAGUCUGUAAUCCCCCAGUC
rnacentral:lncRNA from 1 species